AUCAGAAUCAGAUCUGAACAGUAUUACGGAGCAUGAGGAAAAGAACACUGCUGCUGAUGCAGAAGUUGUUGGUGAUGUGCUUCCUAAAGAUGAAGAUACAGAUAUUAAUAAGACUCGUCUAUUACGACAACAACAAGAUGAAGAGUUUCAACUAUGUUUAAAACAAGAUAGAGAAAAGAGUGAAAAUGUUGAACUGGAAAGAAGAAAAGAAAUCUAUCUCCAAGUGCUAAGGGAACAAAGAAAACAGAAAGUUGUGGAUGAGCCAGUGGAUGGUUUCAUUGUUAAAAUUAACCAUGGAACUGCAUUUGUAUACAGAAAGUGUACAGAAUCUUCACCAGUAGAGGUUCUUCUGAAUUUUGUGGGUGCC